rnacentral:rRNA from 1 species
UACGUAGGGCGCAAGCGUUGUCCGGAAUUAUUGGGCGUAAAGAGCUCGUAGGCGGUUUGUCGCGUCUGGCGUGAAAGCCCACGGCUUAACUGUGGGUCUGCGGUGGAUACGGGCAGACUAGAGGCAGGUAGGGGAGAAUGGAGUUCCCGGUGUAGCGGUGAAAUGCGCAGAUAUCGGGAGGAACACCGGUGGCGAAGGCGGUUCUCUGGGCCUGUACUGACGCUGAGGAGCGAAAGCGUGGGGAGCGAACAGG